rnacentral:rRNA from 1 species
GGAGUUAGCCGGUGCUUCUUCUGUGAGUGAUGUCCUUCCUGCCGGCUAUUAACCCGCAGGCCUUCUUCCUCACUGAAAGUGCUUUACAACCCGAAGGCCUUCUUCACACACGCGGCAUGGCUGGAUCAGGGUUGCCCCCAUUGUCCAAUAUUCCCCACUGCUGCCUCCCGUAGGAGUCUGGGCCGUGUCUCAGUCCCAGUGUGGCUGAUCAUCCUCUCAGACCAGCUACGGAUCGUCGCCUUGGUGAGCCGUUACCUCACCAACCAGCUAAUCCGACAUAGGCUCAUCCGAUAGCGCGAGGCCCGAAGGUCCCCCGCUUUCCCCCGUAGGGCGUAUGCGGUAUUAGCCUGGGUUUCCCCAGGUUAUCCCCCACUACCGGGCAGAUUCCUAUGCAUUACUCACCCGUCCGCCGCUCGCCACCAGGGAGCAAGCUCCCCGUGCUGCCGCUCGACUUGCAUGUGUUAGGCCUGCCGCCAGCGUUCAAUCUGAGCCAGANCAACACUNA